rnacentral:rRNA from 1 species
AUGCGGGCUGCAUGGAAUCCGGCAAAAGUUGUGCGUUGGAGGAUGAUCGGGAACAAUUUGUUUACAUUGCAGUUUGGUUGCCUCGGAGAUUGGAAGACGGCGAUGACUAAUGGCCCGUGGCUAUUCAGAGAUCAAGCGGUGAUUCUGGUGGAGUAUGACGGAUUCACGAACCCUAAAUCAAUCAAUCUGGAUAGGGUUGCGGUAUGGGCGAGAAUUUUGAAACUGUCGGACAACUAUAUGUAUGAGGUUGUGAUAAAAGGGAUGUGCAGGAAGGUAGGAGAGAUUCUGGAGGUGCAGAUACAAUUACCGGCCGGUUACAUCGGCAAGUUUGUAAGAAUAAAGGUGAAUCUUAAUGUAAACAAGAGGCUGGAGCGUUUUGUGUCAAUUACUAAGGGGGGCAAGAAAUAUUGGUAUCAAGUCCAAUACGAGAAGAUGCCGAUCUUUUGCAACCAUUGUGGAUUGAUCAGACAUUGGCAUGAGGAUUGUGGGACUGGUGAACAUGACAUAUCCAAGUUUGAGUGGGGAGAUUUUAUGAUGGCUGAUGAAUGGAAGCAACGUGGGAAUGGUCGUGGUGCAAGCGGAGGAAGGGGUCGAGGCCGAGGGAGAGCUCCCUUCGGCAGAGCAUCUGAAGGUAGAAAUGAAAAGGAUCAUGAAUGGAUGCUCUCUAAUGGUGCAAAUACAAGGUAUGAUGGCCAAACUAGUUGGAGGUUUAAUGCAAUUUUCCAGGAUCAGGUGGAACCUACAGAUCAGCAUCCGGUACAGCAGGACCCUAAGGCAUCAGGUCUGGAUGUGACCAUGGGUGACAAUGAACAAGGGGCUAGGAAAAGGUUGGCGGCUGACUUUGUAUCAGGAGGGGAGCUAAGCCCCAAUAAGUCUAUGGUUGUGGUUGACCCGAAAUCUAAGGUUUCCACUAUGGUAGGGACGUUCGAUGAAAACAGUGAGAGGGACCCUUCUUCGACACCCCAGAAGAUUGCAAAUCGGAAGAAACAUAAAGCCGAGGAUGGGGAAGUAAAUAUAUGUGAGGAAUCGUCUAAGUACAAUGCAGGAUCGGCAACACUCCUCGAGAGUGACCGCCGGGCGCAAUGA